rnacentral:rRNA from 1 species
GACGAACCGUACGAACGUUAUUCGGAAUUACUGGGCUUAAAGGGUGCGUAGGCGGCGCGGAAAGUAGGGUGUGAAAUCCCUCGGCUCAACCGAGGAACUGCGCCCUAAACUACCGUGCUCGAGGGAGGUAGAGGUGAGCGGAACUGAGGGUGGAGCGGUGAAAUGCGUUGAUAUCCUCAGGAACACCGGUGGCGAAAGCGGCUCACUGGACCUCUUCUGACGCUGAGGCACGAAAGCUAGGGUAG